AACAUCGCGCACCUGCGGGAACCUGCGGAAGGAUCAUUACAGGACUCGCAAGACUCCUACAACCCUGUGAACCUACUAUACGAACGUUGCUUCGGCGGGUGCGCCCCGGGGAUUCGUUCCCGAGGCGCGUCAGCCCGCCGGCAGCCUACAAAUUCUGUUUCUUUGCGUUGGCAUCUCGAGAAAAAACAAAUAAGUUAAAACUUUCAACAACGGAUCU
rnacentral:misc_RNA from 1 species